AUGAACACACUAGAAGUCUAAGGAAAUGAACACAUCAGAAGUCCAAAAUCCCCAAUCCCCAAUUCGGCUACACAAGUACACAACCCUUCUCCCAAAAUCAGAUCUGAAUCCCUCUUUUGCUUUCCUCUCAAAUCAGCAACCCUACUACAAGACUCAACUUUACACGAGUAUGGAGACUCACCUUUGAGCAUUGAUUAGCCAGUUUCGUUCACGAUGCACUAUCUGUGUGAGAAUUGAUUGGAGGAGUGAUUUGGAUUUUUGCCCAAUCUUCAAGCUGCAGUGAUUUGGAUUUUUGUCCAAUCUUCAAGCUGCAGUGAUUCCUUUCAGUUGCUGUAGUAUAUUGCACUGAUUUGGAUUUUUGUUUUUGCUACAUCUGACAUUUUAUGGCCAUUUGACAUUUUAGUUAUAUUAUAAAGUUAAAACUUCAAA